UACGGAGGGUGCAAACGUUGCUCGGAAUCAUUGGGCGUAAAGCGCACGUAGGCGGUCUUUUAAGUCGGAUGUGAAAGCCCCAGGCUCAACCUGGGAAGUGCAUUCGAAACUGAAAGGCUGGAGUACGGAAGAGGGUCUCGGAAUUCCCGGUGUAGAGGUGAAAUUCGUAGAUAUCGGGAGGAACACCAGUGGCGAAGGCGGAGACCUGGGCCGAUACUGACGCUGAGGUGCGAAAGCGUGGGAGCAAACAGG
rnacentral:rRNA from 1 species